AGGAAUAUAGUUGGAUGCAGCAGUUUAAUUAAUAGGUCUGUUCGACCUUUAAAUCCUUACAUGAUCUGAGUUCAGACCGGCGUGAGCCAGGUCGGUUUCUAUCCUUAUUGUUUAUUUAUAUUUUAGUACGAAAGGACCAAGUAUUUUAAAUAAUUUAUUUAAUUUGAUUAUUAAUA
rnacentral:rRNA from 1 species